GUAAAAUCACAAAAAUACUGAUCUCCGAGGAAAAUUCAAAAAGGAAGGAAAGUCCCGAAUCAAUUAUCGAAAUCAAAAGCUUAAACACAUCAAAUGAAUGGAUAACAACUGUCAUAUUCCUAACUUUGUACAGGCAUUUCCUUAUGUAGAUUAAAUCUAGAAUUAUAGCUAGCUAAACCUCUCACUUGUAUGACAGUUACAUAACAUUCCGUUAUAUUGAAAACGAUGUGUGAACAAAACAAACAGACAUUAUAGGUAUAAACAUUUUGAUUUUUUCUCAACGUUCGGUAUUUUUGUGAAUAUACUUUUUACAACAUUUACGUACGUGUCUAUAUAUCAAUACCAAAUAUGGAAUUUUCGAAAUAAACAAUAUGGCAAACAUAGCAAAAUACUCAACAAAUUUCCCAUACAAAGAGUGAUAACUCAAUGUAUAAAUUGUUGACGUAAAUAAAAAAAAACCACCGUAUUUUAUAUAUUUGAUAUCAUUCAUGAAUGCAAAACAAAAACAACUGGUUGAUUUUAGGAAACUCCUUUUGUGCAAUGAAAUCAGUAAACAUCAAUUAUGUAAGAUUUGUUAAACAACAUCUGCAGACAAUCUUUGCUGCUCAUAAUGCAAGUUAAUAAGAAACAUCAGGCUUUAUAUAUCGGUAUCCCAAAAUUAGAUCGCAUAAAUCAUAAAAUUAAACAUAUAUUAUUUUCAUUAGGAAUGAUUUUUAUGUGGCCAUUUGUUAAUGGAUAACAAAUUGCUGUUGUCGUCUUUUCUUUUUAAAAACAAUACGAUCAAAAGUAAGAAAGUACAGAGAAAGGUAAAGAGAAUCUUAAGCAAAGAAGGGGAAAAAACACCAUGACCAGAUGACAAACAGAAGCGUACAUAUCACUACACAAACUGAACACUGAGUAAACAAACCUUCCUAAAACUUGGAAAAAGUAAAGGUUUAAAAAAGUGACCAGUACUUGCCCUUCUACUGGAACCUUUCGUAUUGGUUAUUGCAAAAUUCAAAAUCCAAAAAUUGGAAAAUACUUUUGGAUCUGUGAUACAACUGACCGGAAAAGGUUAACGUACGUCAUUCUAGCGUCAACUUUAACAUAACAAUCUACUAAUCACACCAAACAUAAAGCAUCUUGAUAAUUUCUUCUUUCUUAUUUUAGAAGAUUCUCGUACAAAAUUCAAAUCAAUGUGUCUAAUAUUAUUGUGGAACGAAGUAUAAGAAGUCGAACUUUUUGUUAUUGCUGCAAAAUGCUAACAGCCAUUAAUUUUGUAAAGAAUUCCCAUCUGAAUUGAAUUGAGAACAGAAAUGGGGACUCGACAAAGAACAGAAAACAGCCCAAGUCAACCAAUGGUACUUAAAUUCCGCGAAGCAAUACCGCACCCAGAAACGAACUUCAGCUUGUCCAUAAACAAAAAUAUGCACUAGUUCAAUGAAAAUGGGCGUCAAACUAAAUUCCAAAACAUAUCAACUAAUAUUUUUUUCAAACCUACAAAACUAACAAAGGUCAGAAGCUCCUGAUAUGGGACAGGCGCAAAAUUGAAUGACAUCAAUAGCAG
rnacentral:lncRNA from 1 species